UUUGCCAUUUAGUGUUGCUGUACAUACAUAUAAAUAAUGUACUUUAGUUCAUUAAUGUUAUUUUUUUGUUCAGAUAUUGGAAAAUCUAAAAAAAAACACGAAAGAAAAGAUCAGGUACCCAAAGAAGAGUUCGGAAAUGCUCCUCCAGAGAAGAAAAGGAAAAGGUCAGGCACCAAAAGAAGAUAAUGAAGAUUAAGCAAAAUUCCAAAUUUAGGCAGGCCAUUCAACCAAGAGGAAACGAUGCACUCCUUUCUGAAAAUAUAUAUAGAGACCAGUAAUUGAUUUACCACAAUGCUUUACUGCUCUUGACUUACGCACUUUUAUAAAGUUCAACAGGAAGAUAAUGAAGAUUAAGCAAAAUUCCAAAUUUAGGCAGGCCAUUCAACCAAGAGGAAACGACGCACUCCUUUCUGAAAAUAUAUAUAGAGACCAGUAAUUGAUUUACCAUAAUGCUUUACUGCUCUUGACUUACGCACUUUUAUAAAGUUCAACAGGAAGGUAAAUCAUUGGAAUGUACUGGCUUUAAUGCUGGUAUUAAUCACAGGGGAAAUCUAUUCCCUUUAUUGAAGAUUGGACCUAAUUUAAUGUGCCUAAAUUUAAAUGGUUGUAUGUUGUCAAGUGAUAAUGUUAAUGAUAUGAUUAGUAGAUAUCUGAAAAGUGACAAUUAUGUCUUAAAAAUUAUUAUGCUUUGUGGCAAUAAUCUUAGUAACAUUAAUGAAUAUUAAGUACACAUACUUGCAAACCUAAUGUGGUAUUUGUGAAUGGCUGUAAUUGUCAGCUGUUUUUAGAAUUAGUUACUAUGUGUACAGUAUAUAAUUUUAAAAUAAAAUUAAAGAAUUAAUUAUUAGGAAUAAUGAUCUCAGUGACAUUAAGGGACAACAUUGUGUUCUCUGUUUUAAAGUUGCCCCAUUGCUUCAUCAUCUUGACUUGGCACAUUGUAACUGGUGCUGUUUUAAAUGCAAAUGGUCCAAGAGUGUUGGAAUAACAAAAUAACAUCUCCUUUGAAAUGGUUUAUUAUCAGUACAAGAUGCAAGAUAUAAGAGAGACAAUGACAUCCAUGAAGUUAGUUAAAGGUUACAACUUAGAUACCAUUGAAUGCAAUUGGCCCACCCACUUUUUAUUACUAUUAUUUUUUAUUACUAUUAUUUAUUAUUAUUAUUAUUAUUAUUAUUGUAUGUUAUAUUUAUAUAGCGCUAAUGCCAACAAGGCCUCUAAGCGCUUCACAUUACUACCCCCGGUCAUUGGAUUAAACGCCUAUGGAACACAAACUGUUCAAUAUAGUUGCAGCAGCUACGUCAGUGCAUUUUGGCA